UUACUGAGACACGGCCCAGACUCCUACGGGAGGCAGCAGUAGGGAAUCUUCCGCAAUGGGCGAAAGCCUGACGGAGCAACGCCGCGUGAGUGAUGAAGGGUUUCGGCUCGUAAAACUCUGUUAUUAGGGAAGAACAUAUGUGUAAGUAACUGUGCACAUCUUGACGGUACCUAAUCAGAAAGCCACGGCUAACUACGUGCCAGCAGCCGCGGUAAUACGUAGGUGGCAAGCGUUAUCCGGAAUUAUUGGGCGUAAAGCGCGCGUAGGCGGUUUCUUAAGUCUGAUGUGAAAGCCCACGGCUCAACCGUGGAGGGUCAUUGGAAACUGGGAAACUUGAGUGCAGAAAAGGAAAGUGGAAUUCCAUGUGUAGCGGUGAAAUGCGCAGAGAUAUGGAGGAACACCAGUGGCGAAGGCGACUUUCUGGUCUGUAACUGACGCUGAUGUGCGAAAGCGUGGGGAUCAAACAGGAUUAGAUACCCUGGUAGUCCACGCCGUAAACGAUGAGUGCUAAGUGUUAGGGGGUUUCCGCCCCUUAGUGCUGCAGCUAACGCAUUAAGCACUCCGCCUGGGGAGUACGACCGCAAGGUUGAAACUUAAAGGAAUUGACGGGGACCCGCACAAGCGGUGGAGCAUGUGGUUUAAUUCGAAGCAACGCGAAGAACCUUACCAAAUCUUGACAUCCUUUGAAAACUCUAGAGAUAGAGCCUUCCCCUUCGGGGGACAAAGUGACAGGUGGUGCAUGGUUGUCGUCAGCUCGUGUCGUGAGAUGUUGGGUUAAGUCCCGCAACGAGCGCAACCCUUAAGCUUAGUUGCCAUCAUUAAGUUGGGCACUCUAGGUUGACUGCCGGUGACAAACCGGAGGAAGG
rnacentral:rRNA from 1 species